GGGGCAGAGGGAGAGUCCCUGAACUGGACUCUUCACACAAGAGAUUCCAGGUGGGUUUAUUACAAACCAUUUCUGCCUUGGUGUGCUCUGAGCCAACACCUUCAUCAGCCCCAAGAAGACCCAGGACAGGCAUCAGCCAUGCGGAUCCUCUACCUGCUCUUCCCCUUGUUCCUCCUGUUGGUCCACAGUGCUGCAGGAUCCUCCUCAGGACCAAAAAAUGAUAAGCAAUGUAGGCGAUAAAAGGGAUUCUGCUCACUUCUACAUUGCCCUUUCCCCUAU